rnacentral:lncRNA from 1 species
ACUUAAUGAUAUAAAAGUUUGAUUAUAGAUUCAAGGUAAUAAGCUAAAAAUGGUAUAUUCAGAGGCGGAUUUAGGGAGGGGCAGAGGGCCGGGUCCCCCUUUUCUGGAAAAAAUUUGGUUGCUUAUAUAGGGAAUCACUGAAGCAUGACCGGAGCGGGCCCCCACUUUUAAGAAUUUCUGGAUCCGCCACUGAUAUUAUGUAUACAUGUACCCAUUACAUAUCUUGUUUGAGGUACCAUUUUAAUUCUUCUUCUCCUGUCUAUACUUGUUUUACU